GCAUGUCCUGUUCACAGGAUGUUUAUGUUUGCUAUUGCUUUCGUUUCUCUCUGUGUGUCUGGAGACACUGAUGCAGGCAGUCAUGUUUUUCUUUGUUCUGAUCAACGCUGAAUAAAACUUGUAAAUAAUGCUCUCCUGAGUGCGACUUCUGCUGUGCAUUAUCUGCUGAUAAAGAGUGUGCAUCGGCUCUAGAAUGUUCUGGAGCUCAUGUCGCUAAUUGCUGAUACUGCGUGUCUACGGGAGAUCGAUGGAUCGUCCGGCAGCCGGCUUGGGGGCCAUGAUGGACUUUAUCUCCCUGGCAGUAUCCCAAC